rnacentral:rRNA from 1 species
AGAGCGAACGCUGGCGGCAGGCCUAACACAUGCAAGUCGAACGGACCUUUCGGGGUUAGUGGCGGACGGGUGAGUAACACGUGGGAACGUGCCUUUUGGUUCGGAAUAGCUCCUGGAAACGGGUGGUACUGCCGAAUGUGCCCUUUGGGGGAAAGAUUUGUCGCCAUUAGAGCGGCCCGCGUCUGAUUAGCUAGUUGGUGAGGUAAAGGCUCACCAAGGCUACGAUCAGUAGCUGGUCUGAGAGGAUGACCAGCCACAUUGGGACUGAGACACGGCCCAAACUCCUACGGGAGGCAGCAGUGGGAAUCUUGCGCAAUGGGCGAAAGCCUGACGCAGCCAUGCGCGUGAAUGAUGAAGUCUAGAUUGUAAAUCUUCACCGGACAUAAUGACGUACCGGAGAAGAAGCCCGCUAACUCGUGCCAGCAGCCGC